GACGAACGCUGGCGGCGUGCUUAACACAUGCAAGUCGAACGGAAAGGCCCUGCUUUUGUGGGGUGCUCGAGUGGCGAACGGGUGAGUAACACGUGAGUAACCUGCCCUUGACUUUGGGAUAACUUCAGGAAACUGGGGCUAAUACCGGAUAGGAGCUCCUGCUGCAUGGUGGGGGUUGGAAAGUUUCGGCGGUUGGGGAUGGACUCGCGGCUUAUCAGCUUGUUGGUGGGGUAGUGGCUUACCAAGGCUUUGACGGGUAGCCGGCCUGAGAGGGUGACCGGCCACAUUGGGACUGAGAUACGGCCCAGACUCCUACGGGAGGCAGCAGUGGGGAAUAUUGCACAAUGGGCGGAAGCCUGAUGCAGCAACGCCGCGUGCGGGAUGACGGCCUUCGGGUUGUAAACCGCUUUCGCCUGUGACGAAGCGUGAGUGACGGUAAUGGGUAAAGAAGCACCGGCUAACUACGUGCCAGCAGCCGCGGUGAUACGUGGGGUGCGAGCGUUGUCCGGAUUUAUUGGGCGUAAAGGGCUCGUAGGUGGUUGAUCGCGUCGGAAGUGUAAUCUUGGGGCUUAACCCUGAGCGUGCUUUCGAUACGGGUUGACUUGAGGAAGGUAGGGGAGAAUGGAAUUCCUGGUGGAGCGGUGGAAUGCGCAGAUAUCAGGAGGAACACCAGUGGCGAAGGCGGUUCUCUGGGCCUUUCCUGACGCUGAGGAGCGAAAGCGUGGGGAGCGAACAGGCUUAGAUACCCUGGUAGUCCACGCUGUAAACGGUGGGUACUAGGUGUGGGGUCCAUUCCACGGGUUCCGUGCCGUAGCUAACGCUUUAAGUACCCCGCCUGGGGAGUACGGCCGCAGGGCUAAAACUCAAAGGAAUUGACGGGGCCCCGCACAAGCGGCGGAGCAUGCGGAUUAAUUCGAUGCAACGCGUAGAACCUUACCUGGGUUUGACAUGGAUCGGGAGUGCUCAGAGAUGGGUGUGCCUCUUUUGGGGUCGGUUCACAGGUGGUGCAUGCCUGUCGUCAGCUCGUGUCGUGAGAUGUUGGGUUAAGUCCCGCAACGAGCGCAACCCUUGUUCACUGUUGCCAGCACGUUAUGGUGGGGACUCAGUGGAGACCGCCGGGGUCAACUCGGAGGAAGGUGGGGAUGACGUCAAGUCAUCAUGCCCCUUAUGUCCAGGGCUUCACGCAUGCUACAAUGGCUGGUACAGAGAGUGGCGAGCCUGUGAGGGUGAGCGAAUCUCGGAAAGCCGGUCUCAGUUCGGAUUGGGGUCUGCAACUCGACCUCAUGAAGUCGGAGUCGCUAGUAAUCGCAGAUCAGCAACGCUGCGGUGAAUACGUUCCCGGGGCU
rnacentral:rRNA from 1 species